rnacentral:rRNA from 1 species
CCUACGGGAGGCAGCAGUGGGGAAUUUUCCGCAAUGGGCGAAAGCCUGACGGAGCAAUACCGCGUGAGGGAGGAAGGCUCUUGGGUUGUAAACCUCUUUUCUCAGGGAAGAACAAAAUGACGGUACCUGAGGAAUAAGCAUCGGCUAACUCCGUGCCAGCAGCCGCGGUAAUACGGAGGAUGCAAGCGUUAUCCGGAAUUAUUGGGCGUAAAGCGUCCGCAGGUGGCAGUUCAAGUCUGCUGUCAAAGGUCAGGGCUCAACCCUGAACAGGCAGUGGAAACUGAACAGCUAGAGUGCGGUAGGGGCAGAGGGAAUUCCCAGUGUAGCGGUGAAAUGCGUGGAGAUUGGGAAGAACACCGGUGGCGAAAGCGCUCUGCUAGGCCUGCACUGACACUCAGGGACGAAAGCUAGGGGAGCGAAUGGGAUUAGAUACCCCAGUAGUCCUAGCCGUAAACGAUGGAUACUAGGCGUAGCUUGUAUCGACCCAAGCUGUGCCGUAGCUAACGCGUUAAGUAUCCCGCCUGGGGAGUACGCGCGCAAGCGUGAAACUCAAAUGAAUUGACGG